UUGAAACAACCUGACAUUGGCAUGGGGGCACCCUGAUCCAGCCAUGCCGCGUGAGUGAUGAAGGCCUUCGGGUUGUAAAGCUCUUUCGUGGGGAACGAUACUGUUGCUGCGAAUACCCGUGGCCACUGACGGUACCCCGACAACAACCACCGUAUUACUACGUGCCAGCAGCCGCGGUAAUAAGAG
rnacentral:rRNA from 1 species